CCUCCAGUAGCACCUUAGAGACCAACUAAAUUUGUUAUUUCUUGCAUGCACACGAAAGCUCAUACCAAUAACAAACUUAGUUGGUCUCUAAGGUGCUACUGGAAG